UACGGAGGAUGCGAGCGUUAUCAGGAUUUAUUGGGCGUAAAGCGUCCGCAGCCGGUUUGUUAAGUCCAGAAUUAAAGCCCGAAGCUCAACUUCGGUUCGUUUUGGAUACUGGCAAACUUGAGUGUGGUAGAGGCAAGUGGAACUUCUAGUGUAGCGGUGAAAUGCGUAGAUAUUAGAAAGAACACCAGUGGCGAAGGCGACUUGCUGGGCCAUUACUGACGGUCAUGGACGAAAGCGUGGGGAGCAAAUA
rnacentral:rRNA from 1 species